rnacentral:rRNA from 1 species
GACGAACGCUGGCGGCGUGCUUAACACAUGCAAGUCGAACGGAAAGGCCCUGCUUUUGUGGGGUGCUCGAGUGGCGAACGGGUGAGUAACACGUGAGUAACCUGCCCUUGACUUUGGGAUAACUUCAGGAAACUGGGGCUAAUACCGGAUAGGAGCUCCUGCUGCAUGGUGGGGGUUGGAAAGUUUCGGCGGUUGGGGAUGGACUCGCGGCUUACCAGCUUGUUGGUGGGGUAGUGGCUUACCAAGGCUUUGACGGGUAGCCGGCCUGAGAGGGUGACCGGCCACAUUGGGACUGAGGUACGGCCCAGACUCCUACGGGAGGCAGCAGUGGGGAAUAUGGCACAAUGGGCGGAAGCCUGAUGCAGCAACGCCGCGUGCGGGAUGACGGCCUUCGGGUUGUAAACCGCUUUCGCCUGUGACGAAGCGUGAGUGACGGUAAUGGGUAAAGAAGCACCGGCUAACUACGUG